rnacentral:snoRNA from 1 species
CACUCCAUUUAAGCCUCUGGUCUCUUAUGUUUCGGUGGGAUUAUGAGUCCUGAGAUGGAGAAGAUUAAGCCAGUGGUUGAAAGUCAUCUUUUUACCUCGAUGCACUUUCAUAUCGCUGGAUCGUGAACCAGGCAAUCAAUUCAGUUGGACUGUUCCUCUUGGCUGAUUGUAUGGAGCUACAAUU